UGGGGAAUAUUGCACAAUGGGCGCAAGCCUGAUGCAGCAACGCCGCGUGAGGGACGACGGCCUUCGGGUUGUAAACCUCUUUUAGUAGGGAAGAAGCGAAAGUGACGGUACCUGCAGAAAAAGCACCGGCUAACUACGUGCCAGCAGCCGCGGUAAUACGUAGGGUGCGAGCGUUGUCCAGAAUUAUUGGGCGUAAAGAGCUCGUAGGCGGUCUGUCGCGUCUGCUGUGAAAACCCGAGGCUCAACCUCGGGCCUGCAGUGGGUACGGGCAGACUAGAGUGCGGUAGGGGAGAAUGGAAUUCCUGGUGUAGCGGUGGAAUGCGCAGAUAUCAGGAGGAACACCGAUGGCGAAGGCAGUUCUCUGGGCCGUAACUGACGCUGAGGAGCGAAAGCGUGGGGAGCGAACAGGAUUAGAUACCCUGGUAGUCCACGCCGUAAACGUUGGGCGCUAGAUGUGGGGGACCAUUCCACGGUUUCCGUGUCGCAGCUAACGCAUUAAGCGCCCCGCCUGGGGAGUACGGCCGCAAGGCUAAAACU
rnacentral:rRNA from 1 species